rnacentral:misc_RNA from 1 species
AAGUCGUAACAAGGUUUCCGUAGGUGAACCUGCGGAAGGAUCAUUACAAUUCAGUAGCUUGCUACUGUCGGGAGGCGCUGUAAGUCCGCAUAGUUUAAUUACUGAUGAGCGGCAGGCCCUCUGUCUGUACCCUUGUCUUUUGCGCACUCAUGUUUCCUCGGCGGGCUUGCCCGCCGAUUGGACAAAACUAUAACCUUUUUUAAUUUUCAAUCAGCGUCUGAAAAAAACUUAAUAAUUACAACUUUCAACAACGGAUCUCUUGGUUCUG